GACGAACGCUGGCGGCGUGCUUAACACAUGCAAGUCGAACGGAAAGGCCCUGCUUUGGUGGGGUGCUCGAGUGGCGAACGGGUGAGUAACACGUGAGUAACCUGCCCUUGACUGUGGGAUAACUUCAGGAAACUGGGGCUAAUACCGGAUAGGAGCUCCUGCUGCAUGGUGGGGGUUGGAAAGUUUCGGCGGUUGGGGAUGGACUCGCGGCUUAUCAGCUUGUUGGGGGGGUAGUGGCUUACCAAGGCUUUGACGGGUAGCCGGCAUGAGAGGGUGACCGGCCCCAUUGGGACUGCGAUACGGACCAGACUCCAACGGGAGGCAGCGGUGGGGAAUAUUGCACAGUGGGCGGGAGCCUGAUGCAGCAACGCCGCGUGCGGGAUGACGGCCUUCGGGUUGUAAACCGCUUUCGCCUGUGACGAAGCGUGAGUGACGGUAAUGGGUAAAGAAGCACCGGCUAACUACGUG
rnacentral:rRNA from 1 species